rnacentral:rRNA from 1 species
AUUGAACGCUGGCGGCGUGCCUAAUACAUGCAAGUCGAACGCAGUGGGGACGGGUGAGUAACACGUGGGUAACCUCCCCAUCAGAGGGGAUAACACUUGGAAACAGGUGCUAAACCGAUACUGAUGGAUGGACCCGCGGUGCAUUAGCUAGUUGGUGAGGUAACGGCUCACCAAGGCGACGAUGCAUAGCCGACCUGAGAGGUGGAGCGGCCACACUGGGACUGAGACACGGCCCAGACUCCUACGUGAGGCAGCAGUAGGGAAUUUUCGGCAAUGGGAGAAAGUCUGACCGAGCAACGCCGCGUGAGUGAUGAAGGUUUUCGGAUCGUAAAACGCUGUUGUUAGAGAAGCGGUAUCUAACCAGAAAGACACGGCUAACUACGUGCCAGCAGCCGCGGUAAUUC